GAUGAACGCUGGCGGCGUGCCUAAUACAUGCAAGUCGAGCGAACGGACGAGAAGCUUGCUUCUCUGAUGUUAGCGGCGGACGGGUGAGUAACACGUGGAUAACCUACCUAUAAGACUGGGAUAACUUCGGGAAACCGUAGCUAAUACCGGAUAAUAUUUUGAACCGCAUGGUUCAAAAGUGAAAGACGGUCUUGCUGUCACUUAUUGAUGGAUCCGCGCUGCAUUAGCUAGUUGGUAAGGUAACGGCUUACCAAGGCAACGAUGCAUAGCCGACCUGAGAGGGUGAUCGGCCACACUGGAACUGAGACACGGUCCAGACUCCUACGGGAGGCAGCAGUAGGGAAUCUUCCGCAAUGGGCGAAAGCCUGACGGAGCAACGCCGCGCGAGUGAUGAAGGUCUUCGGAUCGUAAAACUCUGUUAUUAGGGAAGAACAUAUGUGUAAGUAACUGUGCACAUCUUGACGGUACCUAAUCAGAAAGCCACGGCUAACUACGUG
rnacentral:rRNA from 1 species